UUGGGUGGUGGUGCAAGGCCGUUCUUAGUUCGGUGGAGCGAUUUGUCUGGUUAAUUCCGAUAACGAACGAGACUCUAGCCUGCUAACUAGCUGGUGGAUCACUGUUUUUGAUGCGACAAACCAGAUUUAAGCCUUCGGUUUUGGACUGGAUAGAUGCGUCCACCGCGUCUUCUUAAAGGGACAGGCGACUCUUAGUCGCACGAGACGUGAGCAUGUAACAAGUCUGUGAUGCCCUUAGAUGUCCUGGGCCGCACGCGCGCUACACUGGAGGAAUCAGCGUGCACUCCCUGCCCGAGAGGGCCGGGUAACCCGCUGAAAUUCCUUCGUGAUUGGGAUCGGGGUUUGCAACUAUCCCCCGUGAACGAAGGAAUUCCCAGUAAGCGCGAGUCAUGAGCUCGCGUUGAUUACGUCCCUGCCCUUUGUACACACCGCCCGUCGAUACUACCGAUUGAAUGAUUUAGUGAGGCCUUUGGACUGGCUCGCCGGUGUGCGUCGCCUUCGGGUUGGCGUCACGCUGGUUAAUCGGGCCGGGAAGCUGGCCAAACUUGACCAUUUAGAGGAAGUAAAAGUCGUACCAGGGUUCCCGUCGU
rnacentral:rRNA from 1 species